rnacentral:tRNA from 2 species
GGACGGUUAGCUCAGUUGGUAGAGCGCAUCGUUGACGUCGAUGAGGUCACUGGUUCGAACCCAGUACCGUCCACCA